CCUGACCUGAGCCAGGAGGCGGCCAGGAAACUGGAUUUUGGGACUGGGAUUUCAGAGAGGAAGCUGGAGAGCUGCAGGGUGGUCAUCUGUCACUUUAUUUUGCCCGUCUUGUAGCAUGUGGGUCUUUCGCAGCAGGAAGUGUGUUUUACAACCAGAGCCCCCGCCCUCCUGCAGCGCAGGCGCAGCUGGCUGGGCUCCUGCUUCCCACUCUCCACCUCAUCCAUAUUUGUCCUCGUCCCUGCCAGUCUCGAAAAGGCACUCUGUCACGUGUACACAGGAAAGGGCCCUGACAAGAGGAUGGGACUGCAGUUGUGGCUGCCAGGGCCCCGGCCAGGGUGAAAACAAGGAACAUUCCAGAGAAGAUCACAAGGAUGCGAAUAAAAUCGGAGCUGCACAGGGAUCUUUGGGCUGUAAUAGGAGGGGACACACAGGGGUUAGGGGAGGGUCUAGCCCUUGGCUCCCUCAGCCCAGCCCUCCUGUCACCUUGCCUCUCCCCUUUCCCCCACCUUAUUCUAUCCCACCCGCCACCGUUGGCCAACUCCUCUCCUAAACAGUGGACUCUGCUUUUUCCCCUCCUCUUAUCCCUAAUCCUAGGAGCUUUCUGUCUGGCUUCCCUCCUGGCCCCUCGUGUAUGCAUUCUCUCUAGCGGUGGGGAUUAAGGAGAAAACUCACGUGGCCAGUGGGUAGAGAGAGUCCGGGCAGGCAGCUGCCUGAAGUCAGCCAGAGUCUGCAUGUGCCCAGCUGUCCUGGCCUCCAGCAUCUCUGGAAAAACAGAGACAGAAUGAGUAGCAGCAGGGGACCCCAUAGGGCACAUCUGAAGGCCUGAGAGGUGCUGGAUGGGAUGGGAAGGCAGAAACAGGCUGACCUUAUCUAGGGGUAGGAGUGGGGAGUACUGGUUGGGGUAUCACCGCUACCCCACGUGAUGGCACAGAGAGUUGCCUGGAACUUACCACUGACAUAAGAGUCUUGCUUUGUCGCCCAGGUUGGAGUGCAGUGGCACGAUCUCGGCUCAGUGCAACCUCCGCCUCCUGAGUUCAAGUGAUUCUCCUGCCUCAGCCUCCCUAGUAGCUGGGAUUACAGGACAAGGAGAGGGACAAAUUCCUUCUUGGCAUCCUUAUGGCCCUGUGACCUGCUAAUGAAUGCUGACUCUGAGUUGCUACUAGAAUUUGGUUUCCUUGUGGCUUCCCAGGAAUUGGUCUCACUCUGCUCACUCUGUCUCCCAAGCUGGAGUGCAGUGGUACAGUCACGGCUCACUGCAGCCUCCACUUCCUGGACUCAAGUGAUCUUCUCACUUCAGCCUUCUGAGUAGCUGGGACUACAGCCCCCUCUGCAGCUCUUCAUGGGGGUCCACUCAAGUCAGAAGCCACAUUUGGGUGUGAUUCAGAGAGCUGUUUAUGCAAAACCAGCUUUGUCACCAUCAGGCAAGGCACCUGAAUUCCCACCGCAGAGAGUGUUGUGGCCGUGAGGACUUUUCUGUCACCAGCCAUUUCCAGGUAGACCCAGUGUAAUCACAAGCAUCCUUGUAAGUGGCAAAGAGGCAGAGGAGACAGCGCCAGAGAGGCAGCUGCAUGAGAAGGAUCAAGAUGUUGCUGACUUUGAAGUUGGAAGAAGAAGGCCAUGAGCCUCAGUAUGUGGGCGGCUUCUAGAAGCUGGAAGGGGCAAGGAGAUGGAUUUGACCCUUCAGCCUCCAGGGGCAGCUGUACCUGCCAUCACUGAUUGUAGCCUGGUGAGGCCUGUUUUAGACUUCUGACCUGUAGAGCUGUAACAUAAUACAUUUGGGUUGUUUUCAACCACUAAGUUUGUGGUAAUUUGUUGUAGCAGCUGUAGAAAAUGAAUACAUAUGAAUCCUCUGGCAUUUGUUUGAGAUUUGCUCUAUGGCCUAGUAUGUGGUUGUAAAUGUUCCAUCUGUGCCUGAAAAAAUGUAUAUUUCUAAUUCAGUAGUCUCUGCUUUUUUUUUUUAUUUUGUACCCCAUCAAUAAAAUGAUUUUCAGCAUGUAUCCCCAAAUAAACAAUAUUUUAUUUAUUGAUUGAUUGAUAAACAGACAUGUUUAAUGAUAGCUUGCUUUUCACAGAGGUGACUUCGGAGACUUCUAAUCUAUAAUCCAGGAGUAUAUAACCAUGCAGCACAGACCAAUUAGUCACAUGUAAAAUAAACUAGAUUCUUACCAC
rnacentral:lncRNA from 1 species